rnacentral:tRNA from 1 species
GAUGACCCAGCUCAGUUGGUUGUGCGUGCAGUUGCUGAAACUGGUGACCCGGGUUCGAGUCCCGUGGUCAGUG